AUGGAAGUGCACCUUUCCGAUGAGGAAGAAUCUUUUAGAUGGAAGCUCACGAGUAGUUGCUUAUUUAUGGUCAAGUCUAUGUACUUAGAUCUCAUCAAUUCUGGCCCAAUCCUACGAUUGCUUCAUAUUUGGCGAGUUAAAGUGCCCUUACGAAUUAAGAUAUUUAUGUGGUUUGUUCACAAACAAGUGAUCCUAACCAAAGAUAACUUAUUGAGGCAGAGAUGGGUAGGUAGCUCGAAGUGUUGUUUUUGUGAUCAGGAUGAAACAAUACAACACCUAUUUCUUGAUUGUCCUCUUGCUAAGUUACUUUGGCGGUCGGUGCAUGUAACCUUUAAUAUUUCACCUCCUAAUAGCAUAGAAGCUUUGUUUGAAACGUGGCUUGAUGGGGUGAAUUUUCAUAUCGCGUGUAAUAUUCGGAUCAGAAUAUGCGCACUUAUUUGGGCUAUAUGGAACUGUACGAAUGAUAUGAUUUUUAACAGAAAACCUAUGAUUAAUUUCUUGCAGGUCAUAUUCCGGGCUACGGCAUGA
rnacentral:rRNA from 1 species